rnacentral:rRNA from 1 species
UACAGCGGUCUCAAGCGUUGUUCGGAUUCAUUGGGCGUAACGGGUGUGUAGGUGGCGCCGUAAGUCGGGUGUGAAAUUUCGGAGCUUAACUCCGAAACUGCAUUCGAUACUGCGGUGCUUGAGGACUGGAGAGGAGACUGGAAUUCAUGGUGUAGCAGUGAAAUGCGUAGAGAUCAUGAGGAAGACCAGUGGCGAAGGCGGGUCUCUGGACAGUUCCUGACACUGAGACACGAAGGCCAGGGGAGCAAACGGG